AUACGUUGGCAACUUCUCGCUCUAAUCCGCCAUCUUGAACUACCUUAGGAGAAACUGUGUUGUUUCUUUGCUAUUUUCACUGAACAUUUCCCAAAAUAUUAGAAAAAUAUUCUGAACAAGCUACAUUGAUUAAAUUUUCGUUGUUCGUUUUGUUCUUAUUCGCUGACAUUUGUUUUCCAAUUGCGUGAAAUUUGGUAAUUUCCUUAGUGUUUCGCUGACCGACCUGUGCUGGUAUUGUGAUUAAGAGCUAAUACACAUUUUUCGGACGAUUCUGCUGUGCUGCGUUCCUGCUCCGCCUGUAUAUUGCUCCGCCCGUAUUUUAUAGUGUUGCGUUCCUGUUGCGCCUUUGCAUUAGUGUGUGCGUUGUGAUUUAGACACGUUGAAAUUUUUUGUAUGCUUCUGCUGUGCUGCGUUCCUGCUCCACCCGUGUAUUAGAUUGCUGCGUUCCUGUUAACAUACAUAUCGUCGCUUAAAGUACAAAACCGCGUAACUGACAUUUGCUGCUAAAAAUUGGAUUCGCUCACACACGUUUUUGGAUCAAUCCUUAUCCAUUCUUCCUGAAAUAUACUAGCCAAAAAUGCGAUUGCUUUUUACAAAAAGAUAACCAUUUUGAAAUAUGAGUGUUUUUACUCUCUAGAAAUUAAUUUAUGCAACCUCGCAUACGUGGGUUUGCAUUAUCUCUAUACGCGGUUUUGCAAUUUAUUGAUACAUGGUUUUGUACUUUAAACGACGAUAUGUA
rnacentral:lncRNA from 1 species